GUGUGUGUGUGUGUGUGUGCGUGCGUGCGUGCGCGUGCGUGUGUGUGUGUGCGUGUGUGUGUGUGUCUGUGUACAUUUGGUAGCAUUGACACUAUCUAUCCACCUACCUACCGACGGGUAAGAGAAGAAAUAAAGAGGACUGAAAAUAGAGAUAAUGAGAGGGAUGGUGGAAGGGAUGCAGCAACAUAAGAUCAGGAGCAGCAUGAUCACAGGGCGUGGUGGUGCAUUGCCCUCCUCUCACCACAAGGUGGGUCACCUGUUCCACUUCAGAGAGAGAGAGGGAAGAAGAAGAAGAAGAAGAAGAAGAGGAAGGGCAGACAGCAGAGAGCAAAGAGGUUUCUGUGGUUGCCUGCUGCCUUUGAACAGGAAGGGUGGUCCCAAUGCCAACAGUGCAUCACUGAAUCAAAAGUAAUAUCACCAUUAACGGAUUACAGCAGAGCCUCACAUGGACUCAAUUUUGAUUUCAACAAUAUUAAAUAUGUCACAUAUGUUAUGGUCUCUUUGCCCAUGUAUAGUACAGGACAAACAAUAAAGGAAGUCUGGCUAGUGAUGUGAAACUGGCAGCUUAAAAU